GAUGAACGCUAGCUACAGGCUUAACACAUGCAAGUCGAGGGGAAACGAUAUUAGAAGCUUGCUUCCGAUAGGCGUCGACCGGCGCACGGGUGAGUAACGCGUAUCCAACCUGCCCAUCACUUGGGGAUAACCUUGCGAAAGUAAGACUAAUACCCAAUGACGUCUCUAGAAGACAUCUGAAAGAGAAUAAAGAUUUAUCGGUGAUGGAUGGGGAUGCGUCUGAUUAGCUUGUUGGCGGGGUAACGGCCCACCAAGGCGACGAUCAGUAGGGGUUCUGAGAGGAAGGUCCCCCACAUUGGAACUGAGACACGGUCCAAACUCCUACGGGAGGCAGCAGUGAGGAAUAUUGGUCAAUGGGCGAGAGCCUGAACCAGCCAAGUAGCGUGCAGGAUGACGGCCCUAUGGGUUGUAAACUGCUUUUAUAAGGGAAUAAAGUGAGAGUCGUGACUCUUUUUGCAUGUACCUUAUGAAUAAGGACCGGCUAAUUCCGUGCCAGCAGCCGCGGUAA
rnacentral:rRNA from 1 species